AACGAACGCUGGCGGCAUGCCUAACACAUGCAAGUCGAACGAGACCUUCGGGUCUAGUGGCGCACGGGUGCGUAACGCGUGGGAAUCUGCCCUUGGGUUCGGAAUAACAGUUAGAAAUGACUGCUAAUACCGGAUGAUGACUUCGGUCCAAAGAUUUAUCGCCCAGGGAUGAGCCCGCGUAGGAUUAGCUUGUUGGUGAGGUAAAAGCUCACCAAGGCGACGAUCCUUAGCUGGUCUGAGAGGAUGAUCAGCCACACUGGGACUGAGACACGGCCCAGACUCCUACGGGAGGCAGCAGUGGGGAAUAUUGGACAAUGGGCGAAAGCCUGAUCCAGCAAUGCCGCGUGAGUGAUGAAGGCCUUAGGGUUGUAAAGCUCUUUUACCCGGGAUGAUAAUGACAGUACCGGGUGAAUAAGCCCCGGCUAACUCCGUGCCAGCCGCCGCAGUAACAC
rnacentral:rRNA from 1 species